AACAGGUAUUAAAUAUUAAAAGCCAUUAAUCAAAUGGGUUUUCUUGCGCAACAACAAAGUUCCUGCGGGAAUAUGACAUGCGGCAGCGGGCGGGCUGGCAAAAAUCAUAAUGUAUUCACUCGGCCCCACCGCAGGGCUCAUCAAUCCUAUACAAAACGCACAUACAUGCGUGCACACGUACAUGCAUACUCGCUCAAGCAUGAAGAUAUUCAAGGACUUAAACCGAAUCGCUUUAAAGCAUUCGAAAACUCAGAAGAGAAGUCAAGUGUGGCACAGCUGCUUUAAGUGUUGAAAAUCCCUACUUGUCCACUGAUAUAUUUUUAGUGGUAAAUUCAGCUGAUUGCUUUGGUUAUUUGAAACAUUUAUCUAAACCGCACGACAGGUGCCUGCUAUGUUCCACCUUCAAGCGCACUUCAAGUCCCAUGGAAUCGUGUGGAGUGAAGGGUACUUUGUGGCAGGGGAAACUCUUUAUACAUUUUCGCUGUUCGCCAUUCGCCAUUCGCCAGUCGAAUGCAACCAUUAUGCACGUCCCGCAACGUGACCAGCAGCCAUUGAGAGAGAGAGUCCUCUCCGAGGGUUUCGAGGCAGCGGUGGCGUUCUGAAAUGGUUCUGAAAGCACUCUACAGAUGGACGCUUUUCAUUUUGAGUCUUUGGUCUGGCAUUUCUAAUUGCAUUUUUACUUAGUUCAGGAGUCAAAGUUUCUUGGCCACGUUUGUGGCUGGGAUCUGGGAUCUGGGAUCCCCCGCCGUGCGUAAAGUUUAAUUAAACGUGUUUGAUUUAUGACUUGCUGGGCAUUCAGCUCCUGGGGAAUGUGGACCGCCGGCAGCUGCAACCGCAAUUCCAAUUCCGAAAAUCUAAUGCGUUUAUUUUUGGUGGGUGGCGAAAAGUUUUCCCACUCCCGCGCCAUUUCCACGAUGGCCAUAAAAGCCAGGCAAGGCACCUUUAUGGCUACUGCAGUUGUCCGUGUGUGCGUGUGUGUGUGUGUGUGGAGUCGAGUGCCAUGUGCCAUAUGAUUUCCGUUUCCGCUUCCGUUUGAACACACAAUUUCCAGCACCUUGCGGAUACUUCUCUCUCUUACACUCGUCCCCGUCCUUUGGCCAUAUUCCAUUAGGCGUUUAUUGUUUUCAUGGGUAUUAAAGUUGCAUUUUCCUCGAAAAAAAAACAAACGAAAAAACAAGCAAAGUUUUCCCCUCAACAAGUUCAUCAAAGUGGCUCACACACACACAGCAGGUGGGAUUCGAGGACCAAUCUAGGCGCAAAUCCCCAAGCUUAGGUCGAGGGGCCAGCGGCGGCAAAUCAGGUCAGGCCACAAGCCACAAAUCUCUUGCUCAAUCCAUGCUGAAAAAUAUUCCACGAUAAUCAACUUUGAUACACGUAGGCUUUGCCUAGUCUCCGCCGACCCCGCGCCCGCUCCAUGCCAUGCAUUAAAAUGCCGAAAAUGAUUGGGAAAAUCGCAAAAGAAAAUCCGGAAAGGCAAGCGACGAGCACAAUCCCAAAACACAAAUCUCCGUCUUACAACGGCCCCAAGGCCGACGGGAGGCGGUGGGUGAUGGCCGUCGGCAUCCCUUUCCCUAGUCCAUAUUUUUUAUGGGGCCGCAUGAAAAUGGAAAAACUUUAUGUUAAAGAGAGAGAGAGAGAGAGAGAGAGAGAGAGAGUGGGUGGGGUGUAGAGCCUCUGCCGAUGAACUGGGUGGAUAAUCGUGGGGCCGUUUAUGGGCAGUGGCUUAGCCUUGGACCGAUGUGGCUUCUGUUUGUGGUAGUGUUUUGUGUGGGUGGGCUGUGGUGGGGGGGUGCAAGAUGUUGGCUAGAUUACGGCGGAGUCCCAAGUGUUUUUGGUCGGAAAGGUAAAUGGAAAUGCAUGGCCUCCGAUUGGAUUACAAUUAGGAUAGAUGCCGAGUACAUUUCGUAGUUUUGUGGUGCGUUUAAACAUCUGUUUGCACUCUCAAAGCCAGGGCAAACGCCUUCUUAGCGCUGGAGCCAACUGUCUAACUGAAUAAUUACCACGUGGUCUGAAUUGUGUCGUAGUGCAGCCACUAAUUGGUCUGAUUGCCAGAACACUCUUUGGAAAAAAAAACAUAAUCCCACAAUGUGACAAAACAACCAGAGAAGGACACAACCAAAACACGCAUCAGUUCAUCUAUAAUCCACUAGAAAAUAUUUUCAUAAAUGGGCGAAAAUAAAUACAAACCGAUGCACAUCUUUCCGCAUAUUUAUAUUGAAAUUAUAGAAAUUUAUUCACAAAUAAAAUUUCACAUUUAACAUGACCAAUUAAUGUGCGGCAAAGCCGCAAAUAAAACCGCUUAAUUACGUGUCACGGCCCAAAAGGCAGAGGACAUAGCCAGUCGGAGUCCAGACGAGUCACACCGAAUGGAAAUUUGCAUGACACGCAUCGAAAUGAAAUAAUAAUAUGGUUAAUAAAGCCAGCCGCAUCUGAUUCAUUCACUGCGGGUAUACAUGGCGAUAUCCGAUGGUCCCAGCUUUCCCAUUCCCAUUGCCGCAUCGCCACAAUCCAAUAUCGAUCCCCCGGACUCGGACUCUGACUCGGGCUCGGGCUCGGGCUCGGGGGCCAAUUAUCGCACUUAUUUCGCUGCUAAUUAAAAUGCAAUUAUUUGCUUUUAACAACAUAAUCCCAUUGACAGCCAUUUUAUUUGUGUGGCUGCUGCGACAAGGUCUGCUUCUCGCCAUGGAGUCUACCACUUUGCCAUAGCUAUAGCAUUGCCUCCAGGCCGAUCAAUUAUGUACUACAUAUGUACAGGCUGCACUCGCACUAGUAGAUUGGGUGGAUACCACAUUCAAAUGGGAAAUCAUAUUUAAAGCUUCCUUUCAGCUGGAAAUCUCUUUUUGAGGAUGAACAGACGCAAAUGCAAAUCUCUGGAAUGGAAAUGCUUACCAAAUUACAGGAUGGUUCUGAGAGAGUUCCAUGCCAAAAAAGGCUAUACUAAAGUUGCGAACAUUUGAGAGCGGAAAAGCUAUGGUUGCUUCGAUUUCUAAUAUGGACACAGACUUUCAGAAAUAUGUAUACAGCCAAUUUCUCGGCUGACAUAUAAGAAAGCUGUCACUGAAUACAGAUAUAUUAUGUUUUCUCUCCCAUACGCGAGAACAACAUUAAAAAAAAAGACCAUUAAAAACCGCCGUAA